ACCUACAGAAGAAGCACCGGCUAACUCCGUGCCAGCAGCCGCGGUAAUACGGAGGGUGCGAGCGUUAAUCGGAAUUACUGGGCGUAAAAGCGCAUGCAGGCGGCCUGUUAAGUCAGAUGUGAAAAAGCCCGGGCUUAAACCUCGGAAAUUGCAUUUGAAAAACUGGCAGGCUAGAGUCUUGUAGAGGGGGUAGAAUUUCAGGUGUAGCGGUGAAAAUGCGUAGAGAUCUGAAGGAAUACCAGUGGCGAAGGCGGCCCCCUGGACAAAGACUGACGCUCAGAUGCGAAAGCGUGGGGAGCAAACAGGAUUAGAUACCCUGGUAG
rnacentral:rRNA from 1 species